AGCGACCCCAUGGACUGCAGCCCACCAGGCUCCUCCGUCCAUGGGAUUUUCCAGGCAAGAGUACUGGAGUGGGGUGCCAUUGCCUUCUCCGGCUGACUUACUGUUUAAAUAAUUUUAUGUACCAUUCUGGUCAUGGAUUAUUUUCUAUAUGUGUAGGUGACAUGGCAUGAAUAAACUAACAGAAAUAGUAUCUAAAAACAAAAGAUCCGUGGGACUUCCCUGGCGGCCCAGUGGUUAAGACUCUGCACUUUCAAUGCAGGGGACAUGGGUUUUCAAUCCCUGGUUGGGGAACCAAGAUCCCAUAUGCCUCACAAUGUAGUCGAAAGAUUAAAAAACAAAAGGUCCACAUUAAACUGUCUAAGCACAGAACUCUGGCUUUCAAGCAGGAAUUCCCAGAGAACAGAAGGGCACAGGGGGGUGGGGUGCUACAGCUGGCCCUGUAGGGGAACUGGUUUGGAGUCAAACAGAGAUACCUUCUGUUUCCUGUUGUAUUUGGCCAGCACUGGGAGAUAUUCCAUUAAGAUCCUAUUUUCAGCUCUGAAAAGGUCCCAUUCUGGGCUGAGUUCCACUGGGCCAGUGUUACUCCCUCACAUUACCUGUUCUGCCCCAGAAACAAUGGUCAAUGCUUUGCACAAAAUAAUCACAGACUCUGUUUGAACUGAGGGAUAUUUUGAAAGCCCACAGAGACUGAGCCAUCUCCCAGUUUUUAGCUAGGCAUAUGCUGGCUACAAAGACAGCAUCUCCCACAUUUCCUUGCAGCUAGAUGUGGCCAUAUGAUACAGUUCUGACUAAAUUCCUGGGUAGAGUCUUCAAGCUUCAGAAAGGAGCCUACUUUUCCUCCACCUUCCCACCUGGAAUGUGGACAUGGUCUCCAGCCAUCUUGGACCAGGAGAGGGGACCCCAUGGUGGCAGAGCAAGAAGACAGAAGGAGCACACUUCACCACUUGGAACUGUAACUCCUGUGUUUAUAUCAUCACCUGUGUCCUUCCUCUGGAAUCCGAGCUCCUGAGGGCUCUGAAGAACUGAAGGACUCCACUGGCAGCAGACCAGUUCUCCUGAUUCUCAGUCUCUCACGAUCCUUAGGAACUUUUGCUGACGAAGGGCUAUGUGACCUCUAGCAGAUUCCUCAACCUCCCUGUGCCCCAGCUGCAAAAUGUCAUGAUCAUGGCCCCUGUAGUUCUAAGGAUUACGAAGACAGACAUGGAGAGAAAGUCAAAGCCGGUAUUACGCCCUAUGUGAAGUGGCCCUCCGCCCCUACGCUCCCACCAGUCUCCCCACUGCCUUCCUCAGCAACAGCCUCUCGCCCCAGGUGCCCUGCCAUAAGCAUCCCAAGCAGGGCCUUUGCACCUGCUGUCCCCACAGCCACAGGGCCUGCUCCUCCCCAUCUAGGUCUCCUCUGAUGUCACCUUCUCAGUGAAGCCUUCCCUGACUACCUCAUUUGAAACUGCUUCACACACACAAAAGCCUCCCAUUCCUCUUCUCUUUUUUCCUCCACAGCACUUAUAACCUGCUAACAUUCUAUACCUUUUUUGUUGUUUGUUUUGGCCAUACUCAGUUUUAGUUGUGGCUUUCAGGUUCUUUCCGUUGCAGCAUGUAGGAUCUAGUCCCCUGACCAGGGCUUCAAACUGGGCCCCCUGCGUUGGGAGUGCAGUCUUAGCCACUCGACCAUCAGGGAAAUGCCCAUUCUAUACAUUUUGCUUAAAUAUUCAAGUAUCUGUUUUCACUGUUAUAACCACCACAAAGGCAGAAAUUUUUAUUCAUUGUGUUUACCACUCUGUUCCCCGCUCCCCAAAUAGUACCUGUAUCACCUGCAUGCUCAAUACAUCAGUGUUGAAUGAAUGGGAAUAAAUAACGGUCCCUACCUCAUAAAGGAUCCGAUGUGAACAUCCCUAUAGAGUGCUUAGCCCAGGGUCUGGUCAGCCGUGAGCCAUUAUGGUAAUUCAGAUUCUAUUCUUGAGGGUUCUUAGUUGCCAAGCUUCUGUGAGUUAACACAUGUAAAGCGCCUUAGAACAGAGCUUGGCACACAGUAAAUGGUAGCUAUUAUUAUAAUUAAGCUUCUAUUUUCAAAGAAGCUUUGAUGCCAAGCUUCUGGGAAUUAGUAUUUCCCGUCUCAGAGCGAGAGCUGGUGUUUCCACAUGGCUGUCACGAGCUGGCCCUCUACUCCCAACUCUGACCUCAUCCCUCCAGCCACUCUGGCCUCCUUGAUGCCCCAUGCCCUCACCUAGACGGCUCCUCCCACCCCAGCGCCAGGCUCCCUCCCUCCCCUUCUCUGGUCUCUCUUCACCUCAGGGAGGUGACACCACUAUUUAAAACUGCACUCUCUUUCAGAACUGUUCUCUGCUCUGCUCUAGUCUCCUCCACAGUGCUUAGCACCAUCAAGCAUGUUACACCUUUCUCGUCUAUUUCUUGUUUACUAUCUGUCCCCACCAGGGGCCCCUUCUCACUUCCAGGUAAGCUCCAUGAACACAAGGAUUUUAUCUUAUUCACUGGUGUGUUCUCAAUGCUUAGCACACAGCCAAGAAUUGAAAAGAUAUUUGUUAAGUGAAUUAAUGGCUCACAGUCCCUACCUUGCAGAGUUAUUCUAAGGGCCUGAUGAUCUCAUGCAAAUAAAAUGCAGCACUCUGUUAAGUGUUGGGGAAACGGCAGCUGAAAUUAUAAUUAAGGUUCUAUUUUUGUGUGUUCCUAGAUGCACAACUUUUCUGAGUCAAUACACUGAAUACAUAAAGCUCUUGGACUGGCGUUUGGCACUCCGGAAGCGCUCAGGAAGCAGAGCUAUGAUUAUAAUUAAAGUCCUCUUUGUGAAGGUUCUUGGAUGAAGUGGCAGAGCGUGCUCACCGUCUUCCACAAACGUUUUCUGCUUUCUGGGCACUUGGCGAGACCGCCUUUCCCACACUCCCUUGCAGCGAGCUGCGGUCAGGUGAUUCAUCUCUCAGCCAUAGAACGCUAAGUGGCAGCGGUAUGUGCCCCUUCCAGGCUGGGGCUUCUCCGCAAGCAUGUGAGCUUCUCCUCUUCCACCCACAGAGCCCCAGCCAGGGACAUCCAGCCAUGACCAUGUGAAUGACAAAAGGAUGGCCUGGGCAUCCCCAAAUCACCAUAUGCAGGUUACUCGCCAACCUUGGACUACCAUGUGAGUGAGAAACAAAACCCUCUUGUGUCUGAGCCUGCACAUCAUAGGGUCUAUGAUUAAAUACACAGAAACCACAUUGAACUA